AUAUGGUUGAUUAAAGCUAAGGGGACGAAAUCUUGGAGAUGUUGGAGAUGUUUUGAUUUCAAUAUUAUCUUGAAAUUUAUAGAAAACUCUAGAAAAAGAAAGUUAAAUGUGGCUAUUAGAAGUUAUGCCACUUGUACAAUUUUGAAAGCCAUAUAUUAUAAUGAGUGGAUGCUAUUUAUAUUGAUAUAUAUUUAAAAAAACUGGACCCUCAACCUUAUGGAGGGGGAGAAAAUCACGGUCACCAUGAGAGAAAGAAACCGUGAGGUUCAAGCUCUAGCCUCGUUGUCGAUUUUCGUUGUAUCGAUCGUCCGAUUGCAAAAACCUUGAUAAAUCAAGUAGCUACGCCCAAUUAUUUACCAUGUCAAAGAGUAAGGGGUUGGAAGAAAAAGAGUCGUCGAAAAGGAAAGGUUUGGAAGUAAACACCAUCCAGGUUAGUCAACAUUGGAAGUACCGGUUGAUGUUUCUGUCAUGUUUUCUCCAGCGCUGCAUCCUUAGAGGGCCACUGAGCUUUAUUACCGAUAGAUUUUCGAAUGGUUAGUUGUGGCAUGUUAGCACUAAAUAUUAUACUAAGCUACUUCCGCUAUAAUUGUAAAUAUUAAUUAUUGAUUUAAGGAUUUGUUUUUGAAUGGUUUAGAAAAUGAAAAUUUUAAAUUGCCAUACUUUAUGGUACCGGAAUUGCGACAUCACCUACUCGACCGGCGGACGUUCGGGUGGGGGUGUUACAAGUUUUGGUAUCAGAGCCUAGGUUUACGCGUUUCUAGGCUUCUGGUUGGGUUCAAGUUAGUUUAAACACAUGCCACAGAAUAUUGAGUCGUUAUCACUAUCAGUGACCCGAUGCAGCUGCUACCAUAUGUUGAUAUAGAAGUUUGUCAAAUGGAGAUUUGACACACUAUAUAUAGUACGGGAUAGGAAUUCCCGUGUGACCGAGAAAUUAGUUAUAUGGGACUGGCCACCCCAUAUAGCUUGAAUCUCGGUAGCGUCAUUUUGGGUGAAAGAUUAAAAAGCUUUAAGAAUGAUGAUAUUAGAAUUGGUCAAAAAGAGAUGAUAUUGCUUGUGAUCUAUAUGUGUUGGUUUAUGAAUAAGAAUGUGAUAAUGUAUGUGAUUUGCAUAAAUGGUGUGAUGGGUGGAAAUGAUACACGAUAUGUGAUGUGAUGUGAGGGAUUAAUAUGUAAUAUGUGGUAUGACGAAGGAUUUGAUCAGCCCUAUGCGGGUGCAUUUUGCUUUGCACACAUACCUGUGUUUAUCGCUCAGCAAAUUUGGGCAAAUAAGUGAAAAUAUUUGAUAAUGUCGAUUAUAAUAUAUUUGAUGAUGUGUAUAUGAUUAUGUGUGCAGUAGCCUGUGGAUAAUAUAUAUGUUUGAAAGGUGAUAUUGUUUGUGUUAAGAAGGUAAAUAUGUGAAUUGGUUGAUACUUGAUAUAGUUGAAAAUGCGUGCCCUUAAAUGGGUUAUAUGUGUUACCGAGUCGAGCUAUGUGUUGUGGAUGAAUAUAUAAAUUCUGUAUGGAUUAUAUGUGUGUUUGGAAUCUGGCAAAAUGAAUUAUGAUGUGAUGUGACAAAGAUAUAAGCAAAGUAUUUGUCCAUGAUAAAAGAUAUGGAUACAAAAUGUGAUCUGACUAGAAAUGUGAACUCCGUAAGAACUAUGUGUGCGCUCAAAGACGAGCUAAACGAAUAUGGAAAUUUAAAUGAGGAUUUAUAAACUGAAUGGAAAAAGGAAAAUGGGUGCAUAUAUGUGAUAAUAUAUAUGUUGUGAGAUAUGAGAAUGUAGGUGAUUUGUGUGUGUUUCGAUAUAAGAGAAUGUCGGUUAUAGCAAUAUGUAUAUAUAUUUUUAUGUAAGAGCGUUGUUGAUUGGUAUAUGUGUCACGAUAUAUGAUAAUAAAUGUGAUUUGUAAACGUGUUGGCGUGUGGAUAAUGUGUUAUAUUCUUUAAAUUUAACUUGACAAUCUAUGUAGGCUGUUGUCAAGUUGUGGAUUUUACUAUGUAUCAUAUUCUAUGAAGUUGGUGAGUUGAUAUGACUAUGACUUUGGCAAGUUCUAGGAAAUGAAAGAUAGAAUAAUGAAGUUAUACCAAGUUAUAAUAAAUUAAUGAUGUUAUAUGAAGAUACGAGGGGCGUGUAAAAUUAGAAGAUUAUAGAGAUUAGAUGACAUAGUACGAUAAAUGUCUAUAACCAUUUAGGUCAUGUAAAAUUUUGAGGACAAUUUUUUUUAAGGAGGGUAGAGUUGUAACACCCCAAAGAAGUGACCUUAGUCGGAAAUUGUUUUUCCGAUUAGGAAACCGGAGAAUCAGGACUCUUGUCGAAUAAUUCGAUUUUGAAAAUAGUGGUUGGAUAUGUGAAAAUGUGGUUGGUCUGUAUAUGUGCUAAGUAUAUUGGUAUGUGAUAUUGUUUGGUAGAUGUUAUGUGGAAUUCUUGAUGCUAUGGAAACGUUAAUUCAAAAUUGAGAAGGAAAUAAGUUGAAAUAUUAAAGUGUAUGAUUAGAAAGUGAUUAAAUGAAAGUUAAGUGAAGGAAUUGAAAAAUGAUGUGAGUUAAGGAUGAUUUGUUUUGAUAAAAUUUGAAAGUCAUCAGUUUAGUCCUUGACCGAUUUCUUCGAAAACAUGAAGAGUAUUAAUCAAAGUACUAAGCUAUUAUCUUGUAUAAUUUAGAGAUUAUAUUAGUUAAAUGUUGAACUUAAUAUAUGGAUUAAAUCAUGAGAAUAAAAUAAUUGGAUAUAAGAUUGACUAGAGAGUUGUUUUAGUAUAUUCACUUACAUAUAGAAUAAUAUUUAAGAAUAGAUGAGAGAGUCUGGCUUAUAUGCAAAAUUAUAUUCUCUAUGCAUUAAUGUAUAUUACAAUGCUAUCAAGGUAGCUACGCCCAAUUAUUUACCAUGUCAAAGAGUAAGGGGUUGGAAGAAAAAGAGUCGUCGAAAAGGAAAGGUUUGGAAGUAAACACCAUCCAGGUUAGUCAACAUUGGAAGUACCGGUUGAUGUUUCUUUCAUGUCUGCUCCAGCGCUGCAUCCUUAGAGGGCCACUGAGCUUUGUUACCGAUAGAUUUUCGAAUGGUUAGUUGUGGCAUGUUAGCACUAAAUAUUAUACUAAGCUACUUCCGCUAUAAUUGUAAAUAUUAAUUAUUGAUUUAAGGAUUUGUUUUUGAAUGGUUUAGAAAAUGAAAAUUUUAAAUUGCCAUA